rnacentral:rRNA from 1 species
UGGGGAAUAUUGCACAAUGGGCGCAAGCCUGAUGCAGCCAUGCCGCGUGUAUGAAGAAGGCCUUCGGGUUGUAAAGUACUUUCAGCGAGGAGGAAGGCGGUAAGGUUAAUAACCUUAUCGAUUGACGUUACUCGCAGAGGAAGCACCGGCUAACUCCGUGCCAGCAGCCGCGGUAAUACGGAGGGUGCAAGCGUUAAUCGGAAUUACUGGGCGUAAAGCGCACGCAGGCGGUCUGUCAAGUCGGAUGUGAAAUCCCCGGGCUCAACCUGGGAACUGCAUUCGAAACUGGCAGGCUAGAGUCUUGUAGAGGGGGGUAGAAUUCCAGGUGUAGCGGUGAAAUGCGUAGAGAUCUGGAGGAAUACCGGUGGCGAAGGCGGCCCCCUGGACAAAGACUGACGCUCAGGUGCGAAAGCGUGGGGAGCAAACA